GAUACUUGAAACAGAAGCCGUCAUGCUAUCUCAGGGCAUAGAGACACUUUGACACAAUACUCACCCAAGCUGGGAUUCUCUGUCCACUGUUACAGCACAGAAAAAAAGAUUCUGGAAAUGUAAAUCAAAAACAGAAGAGGAAAGUUAAUACUAACCAUGAGCUUAUGAGGAGCCUGUGCAGAUGGCUUGACUCCUGUUCUUCAUUUGUGAUGUUUGGUGGACUUGGAGCCUAGUCUAGUUCUGGUUCUGGAUCAGAUGACUCAACCGACGCCUGGAUCACCUCAGACCUACUCCCUUCAGGUGUCUUGACUGCUUUCCAUGUAGAAAAAAGAAAAGUUGCUGAUAUAAAGGUCUAGCCACACAAAGAAG